rnacentral:rRNA from 1 species
AAGACCUUGCGCUUUUGGAGCGGCCGAUGCCUGAUUAGCUUGUUGGUAAGGUAAAAGCUUACCAAGGCUUCGAUCAGUAGCUGGUCUGAGAGGACGGCCAGCCACACUGGGACUGAGACACGGCCCAGACUCCUACGGGAGGCAGCAGUGGGGAAUUUUGGACAAUGGGGGCAACCCUGAUCCAGCCAUGCCGCGUGAGUGAAGAAGGCCUUCGGGUUGUAAAGCUCUUUCAGCCGGAACGAAACGGUUACGGUUAAUACCUGUGAUUACUGACGGUACCGGAAGAAGAAGCACCGGCUAACUACGUGCCAGCAGCCGCGGUAAUACGUAGGGUGCGAGCGUUAAUCGGAAUUACUGGGCGUAAAGGGUGCGCAGGCGGUUUUGUAAGUCAGAUGUGAAAUCCCCGGGCUUAACCUGGGAACU